rnacentral:lncRNA from 1 species
UUUAUAGGUGUUAUCCCACAUAUGCCUGAGGACAUAUGUAGAAGUCCAUGCUAGAAUAAUCCCCAUUGUCAACGUGGGGAGACAGCCCCUGAGAGACACAGUGACUUAUCCAGGAUCAAGAACAGGUGCACUUGUUGUCUUGCCAAGCCUUCCGCACCUUCUCCAGGUCUUACACAUCAUCGUGAUCAGUAGGGAUGUCUUUACCCAAAACCACAGGGGGCUCAUGGGUGAAACUGUGUCCACAGUGAACAGGAAAGAGACCCGCAUCAGGGAGACAGGCCGAAAAAGCAGGUGGAGCGCCUGGUUACCGCCUUGCUGGGCACUGACCCCUCCUAUGUGCCCACCUUCCUGGGCACCUGCAGAGCUUUGCCACCACCCAACAUUGCUGGACCUGCUGUUCAAAGGUG